rnacentral:rRNA from 1 species
GACGAACGCUGGCGGCGUGCUUAACACAUGCAAGUCGAGCGGAAAGGCCCUUUCGGGGGUACUCGAGCGGCGAACGGGUGAGUAACACGUGAGUAAUCUGCCCUGGACUCUGGGAUAACCACCGGAAACGGUGAUUAAUACCGGAUAUGACACCUUGCUGCAUGGUGGGGUGUGGAAAGUCUUUUCGGUACAGGAUGUGCUCGCGGCCUAUAAGCUUGUUGGUGAGGUAAUGGCUCACCAAGGCUUUGACGGGUAGCCGGCCUGAGAGGGUGACCGGUCACACUGGGACUGAGACACGGCCCAGACUCCUACGGGAGGCAGCAGUGGGGAAUAUUGGACAAUGGGCGGGAGCCUGAUCCGGCAACGCCGCGUGAGGGAUGACGGCCUUCGGGUUGUAAACCUCUUUCAGUACCGACGAAGCGUGAGUGACGGUAGGUACAGAAGAAGGACCGGCCAACUACGUGCCAGCCGCCGCGGUAAAAC